GGGCGCAGUGCGCGCUAAACAGGUUGCCAGGUGCACAGUGUUUCCUCCGUCACAUUGGUGCAGCUGGCUUCCGGGUUGGGUUGUGUUUUGGAGGACACAUGGCUUUCGACCUUCAUCUCUCCCGAGCCCGUAUGGGAGUUGUAGCGAUGAGACAAGAUAGUAACUACUAAGAAUUGGGGAGAAAAGGGGGUAAAAAGAAAGAAGACUGAGUGGACUAACCACUGUGUGUUCUCUUGUUUUGCACUGUUCUGUAGUUUCGACACAAUGAUUUGUCUGACAACCAAAGAACUACAAAAGAACUACCAAAGAACUUUGCGUAGUGCAGGCCCAGGCAUGGAUCAAAGCUGGUGAGACAUUCAAUGACAUCAUCAAGAUAUAUGCUGGACCAUAUGUCAGAGAAGUGUUUUUGGGACCACAUCGUUUCUUUCAAGGUAGAUUUAUGUUAUGUUAUGUUUAGGCCUAUUUACAUGUAUAUUUCUAUUAUUUUACCUAAUGUUGACUAUUAGGCUAAUGUCGUUUUUUUCUCUCCAAAUGACAAUGACCCAAAACACACUGCCGCCCCGGGUUUGCAUUGCAAAUGAGCGCAUAAACUGGGUCAAGACACCAGCAGACUGAAAACAUUCAUCUGUAACUCUGCCAAACCUACAAGCAAAGAUGAACUAGUGAAGGCCAUCAAGACUUUUUGGCUUGAGAAACGGAUGAUACAACAAUGCAACAAAUACAUUGAUCAUUUCAGAAAGGUUUUACAUGUGGAGCAAAUGAAAUGUAGCUGAAAUGUAAAGUAGUUGAAAUAAACAUCUGCAUUUUGAAAUA